rnacentral:rRNA from 1 species
UACGUAGGGUGCAAGCGUUGUCCGGAAUUAUUGGGCGUAAAGAGCUCGUAGGCGGUUUGUCGCGUCUGCUGUGAAAACUGGAGGCUCAACCUCCAGCCUGCAGUGGGUACGGGCAGACUAGAGUGCGGUAGGGGAGAUUGGAAUUCCUGGUGUAGCGGUGGAAUGCGUAGAUAUCGGGAGGAACACCAGUGGCGAAGGCGGCGUCCUGGACCGGUGCUGACGCUGAGGAGCGAAAGCGUGGGGAGCGAUCCGG